rnacentral:rRNA from 1 species
UACGUAGGAUGCAAGCGUUGUCCGGAAUUAUUGGGCGUAAAGCGUGCGCAGGCGGCUUUGCAAGACAGAUGUGAAAUCCCCGGGCUUAACCUGGGAACUGCAUUUGUGACUGCAUGGCUGGAGUGCGGCAGAGGGGGAUGGAAUUCCGCGUGUAGCAGUGAAAUGCGUAGAUAUGCGGAGGAACACCGAUGGCGAAGGCAAUCCCCUGGGCCUGCACUGACGCUCAUGCACGAAAGCGUGGGGAGCAAACAGG